UAUCUAUUCCCUCCGUCCCAGAAUAAGUGUCGCUGAUUUAAUAUAAAGUUAUUACUAAAUCAGCGACACUUAUUCUGGGACGGAGGGAGUAUAUU
rnacentral:pre_miRNA from 2 species